UACGAAGGAUCCAAGCGUUAUCCGGAUUUAUUGGGUUUAAAGGGUGCGUAGGCGGCUUAUUAAGUCAGUGGUGAAAGCCUGCAGCUUAACUGCAGAACUGCCAUUGAUACUGAUGAGCUUGAGUACAGUUGAGGUGGGCGGAAUGUGUCAUGUAGCGGUGAAAUGCUUAGAUAUGACACAGAACACCGAUUGCGAAGGCAGCUCGCUAAACUGUAACUGACGCUGAGGCACGAAAGCGUGGGGAGCGAACAGG
rnacentral:rRNA from 1 species